rnacentral:misc_RNA from 1 species
AUGACAGCCGAAUCACAUAUCCAAACAAAAUCCGCUUCUCAUGAAGCGGUCAAAACGACGCGACUAGUCCGUGGCAUAUCGUGGUUCUUCGAGAAAUGGUCUCAUUUCGUAGCUGACCACGCAGUCGCCCUUAUCGUCAUUUGUGUGGUUCUCACUUUGAUCGGAACUUUCAAAGUGGCCACUACACCAAAUGAUAACGAUAUCACUGGUUACACCCCGUACGGGGCUAGAGCUCGCGAUGAAUUUGAUGUGAUGACAGAUUUCUUCGCGCACAACGGAAAUGGAAUCGCUAUGUUCGUUCUGAUCCUUCCCACUCGACACGAAAGUGUGCUCCAUCCGGAUGUGCUCCGUGAAGCUCUUCGCUUAGAAGACAUCCUGUCCACCAACUUCAGCAUGCUCUCGGCCGACGGAAAACCUGAAAACUACCAGGAAUUCUGCACGAAUUUCUGCCAAAUCAACGAGCCAUUUGUGCAGUUUGCGAGAAGCUACCUCACCGAACUGGAUAACUCAAAAAAUGGGACAGAUCUCUCGGAGAGAAUAUCUUUGAACUAUCCUAUAACAAGCAUUUACUCACGAAAAAUGAGUAUUCAACCAAACUUUUUCGGAAUCGAGAUGAUGAAUGAAACGAAGAAAUCCAUUACAAAUAUUCGGUCGUCAAAACUUAUUGCUCUACAAUUGAGGUCUGAAAGGAAGGAAGGAUGGAAUAGUAAUGGGAUUAAAGAUUUCGAGAUGUCUAUCACUAAUUAUUUGGAGAAAGAAUUCGAAUCCCCCGAAAUCCGAGUGCUCACUCUUUCCACCUCUUACGUGGAGGCUGAGGUGGUGCGAGCUGGAAUGUCUCUGCUACCAUUUCUCAUCGUUGGUUUUGUGAUUAUGGCCAUAGUCUCAUCGGUCACCACGUUUUUCUCAGCCGUCUACAUGCAGCAGGUCUCAAUUCAUAAGUUCUCCCUAGCCAUCGCCGCGUGUAUCUGUCCCUUCAUGGCGUGUGGCACAGCUCUCGGAGCCCUCUUCUUCUGCGGUGUCCGCUUCGGAUCAAUCCUCUGUGUGACCCCAUUCCUAGUCCUAGCCAUCGGAGUUGACGACGCCUACCUGAUGAUUCACUCUUGGCAACGAGUGACUGCGGAGAGACGGAAGCACCCGGUGGCUAAUGAUUCACCGGGCAGCCGGCUAUCAGAAGUUCUCGUCGACACUGGACCGGCUAUUCUGAUCUCAGCGCUGACGAACAUCUUCGCCGACGUCGCCGGAUGCUUCACGUCGAGCCCCGAGAUCUCACUGCUCGGCUAUGGAAAUAUGGCGUGUAUUUUCUGCGAUUUCCUGUACCAGAUCACGUUCUACUCGGCGAUUAUGACGCUUACCGGGUAUUUUGAAAUGAAGGACGAAGAGCAGAAGAGGCAUAUUAAGAAGAUCGCAUGUGGCGCGGAUAGUGAUGAUUCCAGUUGUACGAGAUCGCUUGUUUUGGAAAAAUGAGAAGAAGAGCCCCCUCCUCCGUGUCAAUUUUGAGUGACAGAGAACGCGGAGCAACUGCUCGAUGCUCCUAGACUAUGCGAGCAUGGAGCAAGCACUUGGGACAGUUGUUCACGAAAAAUGUUGGAAAAGAGCACGUACGCAACAUUGAAAGGUCAAGGACUGGGACCCAUGCCACGUGGCUCUGGAAGUGGAAAAGCUAGGCCAAGUAGCACCGGAAGUAUGACGUCACAGGAUUUGCUCUGUAAAAUUAUUGUGACGUCAUUAUUCCGAAAAAUGAGGUUGACCCUCUACGCAGAUCUACAAAAAAUGCGGGAAAAGAGACGCGAGUUCUCUAGGAAUUUUGCAUGGUUAAAAACGUGCUGACGUCACUUUUUUUGGGCGAAAAAUUCCCGCAUUUUUUGUAGAUCAAACCAAGCCCCACGUGGUUGCCACGCUUUCGAAAGGGUAAAUAGUUUAGCGGCUGCGGGUAUGUAGUGGGCAACUUUUGGGCAAGUAGCGGGGGCCCUCUAACGCAUGACGUCACUAAACUUGUAAAUCGUGACGUAACUAAUAAUCAACAAAUCAAUAAUGAUAGAAUUCAGAGUUCCUCGGUGGAAAGUUUCGAUGUGAUCGUGAAGAGACGCGUGACGAGCUUCCUGGAAAAUUAUAUAUCGCUAAUUACAAAUGCCUUUUUCCAAAUUUUCGUGGUCCUUGUUUGGAUCGCAUUUUUGGUUGUCUCAAUUUACGGAAUCACCAUCAUGAACAUCAACCUAAGCCCCCGCAAGCUCUUCAUGGAGGACUCGAGUCUUCGAGAAAUGGACGACUUGCGUGUGAAGUAUGUGAUUCCAAACUUCUACCUGGCCAACGUUUUUGUGCGGAAACCUGGAGAUUUGACGGAUGGAGCACGACUUCAGAGGCUUAAUCAGUUUGUGGAGGAGAUGGAGCAUUUGAAUGGAAGCUGGGGAUCCUUGGGAACUAACUAUUUUGUUAGGGACUUUGUGAACUUUCAAGCAGCAAUGGUAGAGGAGGAGGAGGCUGAAGGUGGAGAGGAAGAAGCUUCAAUUGUGAAGAGAGGAGGAAUUGAUGUGAAUAAUUUGCCAAUGUUCUUGGAAUGGCCGGAGUACUUGUUUUGGAAGGGAUUUGUGCAAUUUCACAGUGCGGAGAAUCGAACUGUGCUGGAUCGUUUCUUCAUCACUUUUGCCAUCCAUGGCACCAACUUACAAUCCUGGCCGGCCAGAGGAGAUGCCCUGAGAGAGUGGAGAAAUGUGGUUGAUAAGUACAGCGCCGAAUUCGGUCUCUCCGUGUUCUCGGACGACGGAAUCUACGUGGAUCUUAUCGAGAAUAUGCCGACUGACGCGUGGCAGUCUGCGGUUGCCACGUUGGCAUGUAUGGCGUUUAUUUGCUUCGUUUUCAUGUAUGAUGUGCCGACGGUUAUGGUGGCAACUUCGAUUAUUGCAAGUAUCAUGACAGGAAUCCUUGGAAUCCUAUCUCUCACCGGCACAGACCUGGACCCGAUUGUAAUGUCUGCACUGAUUAUCUCAAUUGGUUUCUCAGUGGACAUCCCAGCACAUAUCUCCUAUCAUUAUCACACAUCUCCGUCAGAUAAUGGAAUUAGACAUCGACUACACAAAACACUGUCAUCCGUCGGGUUUCCAGCUUUACAGGCGACAGUUUCCACGUCAUUAUGUGUGCUUUCUCUGAAAUUCUCGUCGAUUUAUAUGUCAUGUGCCUUCGUAAAAACGAUGAUAACGUGUAUGAUACUCUGCGUCUUCCAUGCUCUCGUCCUCUUACCCUGCCUGUUUGCAAUCUUCCAUCGAAUACAUUCACUGUUCCGAGUACCGAAAACAUCUCCAAUUGAAUCAAAAUGA